AUGUCAUAUAGGAGCAAUAACCCUGAGAUCUCAUCAUUUGCCUCUAGUUAUCCAAUGCAGGGAUUUAGGUAUGAAGAGGAGAGCCACAACUAUGCUCCACAACAGAUUUAUUCAGCUCCUACUCAUAUACCUCAACACCAGGACAUGUUGCCAAUGGAGUUAAAUGGUCCUCCAUUUGGUCAACCAACAUCUUCAACACAAGUGCCCACACAAGAUGACUUUGAUGAUAUAGACAAGCUCACAUUGCUUGGUCUCGAGUUCACUUGGAGUGCCGAAGAUGAUCCAAUUAGGCCGGUGAUACUAGAGGAAAUGAAGAAGAUUAAGAGUAGAAAGGAGCUAGUGGAAGAAGUAAGGAAGAUUGAGAAGAACAAUAACACUGUCAGUACUAUCUCUUCCCUCCUUGAGCUGAGUGUUGCCGGGAUAUUCCUUGAGGUGUGUGAGGUUCCAACACCUUCACAUUCAGCUGAGCAAGAUAGCGAGAGUCCAGAGGAAGAGAUACUUCAGAUCCAAGAAGAAAUUCUCGAAGCCAAGGCACAAGAUGAUCCAGAGCUCGAACAACAAAGUGAUCAAGUUGAAGACUCAUCAUCUAUUACUCUUGAAGAAGCAAAAGAAGUUGAUGUGAUUGAAGAUGAAGAACCAGAAACGCAUUUGCCCAUCGUCAUACAGGAGCGUGAUUUAGCAGGUUUUUGCUUGUGCAUGAUCCAUUACAUGCUGACCAAGUUCGAGGUGACAUUCCUUGGGACCCUGGUGGACUCAGAGCAUGGGGAUGAGGAGAAGCAAGGGGGCACACACGAGGAAGGGAGAAGCUGGAGCAGGCAUGAGGAUAAAGAAUCAAAAGGAGAGGAGCUGCAGUUGGUGAGGUGA
rnacentral:rRNA from 1 species